rnacentral:rRNA from 1 species
AUUAGGUAGUAAUCGCGUCUCAAAAAGGCGCGGUGAAUAUGCCCCUGCUCCUUGCACACACCGCCCGUCAAACCAUCUUAGUUGGGGGUGGGUGAGGCUGCCUUUUAGUGGGGUAGUCGAGCCUGCUUUCGACAAGGAGGGUUAAGUCGUAACAAGGUAUCUGUAGGGGAACCUGCAGAUGGAUCACCUCCUA